rnacentral:rRNA from 1 species
GUGGGGAAUCUUGCGCAAUGGGCGAAAGCCUGACGCAGCCAUGCCGCGUGGAUGAUGAAGGUCUUAGGAUUGUAAAAUCCUUUCACCGGUGAAGAUAAUGACUGUAGCCGGAGAAGAAGCCCCGGCUAACUUCGUGCCAGCAGCCGCGGUAAUACGAAGGGGGCUAGCGUUGCUCGGAUUUACUGGGCGUAAAGGGCGCGUAGGCGGACAUUUAAGUCAGGGGUGAAAUCCCGGGGCUCAACCUCGGAACUGCCUUUGAUACUGGGUGUCUUGAGUAUGAGAGAGGUGUGUGGAACUCCGAGUGUAGAGGUGAAAUUCGUAGAUAUUCGGAAGAACACCAGUGGCGAAGGCGACACACUGGCUCAUUACUGACGCUGAGGCGCGAAAGCGUGGGGAGCAAACAGGAUUAGAAACCCGGGUAGUCC